GGUUGAGUAGCUCAGAGGUCAGAGCAACUCUGAUCAAUGGAGUGGACUUGAGUUCGACUCUCAGUUCAGCCA
rnacentral:tRNA from 1 species